rnacentral:misc_RNA from 1 species
AAAAAAUACAUUCUUCUUCUCAGUUGAUAAAGCCCAAUUAAGGAACAAUAAACAACCAAAAAAGAUGUCAUCAAUGAUCAAAUUACCAUCUUGCAUGUUAAGUGUCAAUUCAUCUUCUUUUUCAAUCAAAUCAUCAAUUUUUCCAAAAUCCAUCUCUUUCUCCUCUAGCCAUAUUAAUAAUUUCAAGAACCCUUUUUUGAACUCUAAAACUCCAAUGGAAAAUCAGAGUUUUUCAGUGUUAUCUGCUUCUAAACCUCAAAAUGGAGCUGUAAUUCAAGAUUCUUCUUUUCAGGGAAGUGAAUCAUUCUUCAGGAGUGUGUUGGGGAACAUGGAAGCCAUAUAUCUGAAUAAAAACCCCACUGCUAAGGCUAUUUUGGAGCUCGUUCGUUCUGCUGAUGAUGAUCAAAUUUGCUAUGAUCAUUUUGCAUUUAGGACAUUUGGGGUAAAUGGUCAUGGCAUUGAUUCUAUGUCAAAGUUCUUCUUAGAUUUUGGUUACGAACGACGAGAGGAGCUGAGAUUCCCUGCUAAGAAGUUGAAAGCUUUCUGGUUUUCUCCUCCGAAGGUAUCAACUUCCAGUCGUGGGAGUGGGGUUCACGGGCCAUUGCCAAGAAUAUUUAUAUCCGAACUUCUUGUCGAUCAGCUUAGUCCAGAAGCUCAGGAAAUAAUCAAAAAGUACACUAAUAUUUCGCACUGCGGAAAAGAGUAUGCUGCACUUGCAAGUGCAUUUGGGAUUUUGACAUGGGAAAAACCCUCGUAUUCGGAAUUUCAACUACUGGCUAGGGAGAGUGAGUAUGCUGCCUGGACACUUGUCAAUGGAUAUGCAUUGAAUCAUGUUACCAUAUCUACCCAUCGGUUGGCAUCAAAUCUGAGAAGCAUUGGAAAUCUAAAUCAAUUUAUCGAAGAAAAUGGUUUCAAUUUGAACUCUGAAGGGGGUUUUCUAAAGGUGAGCCCUGAUGGUCUUUUGCUGCAAAGUUCAACUGUAGCAGAUUCUACCUUUUUCGAAUUUUCAGACGGCAUUACAGAAGCAGUACCUUGUUCAUACAUUGAAUUUGCUGAGAGACUUGUACUACCGCAAUAUAAAGAUUUACCAGCAGAAAAGGUGGAGGAGUUUCACAGGCGGGACGGGUUUGAAGUUGGAAAUGCUGACAAGAUAUUUGAGAGUACAUCCAAGGAUCAGUUAACUCGUCGUGCUGCAUGAAAGUAAGCGCGAAGCAGUUGGAUGUUUCGACUCUGUGGAGCUAAUUCUUGGCAUGUUCAGCUGGAUGACUACUCCAAGAUUAAACUGUUGUUGAAAGAAGAUGAUAUUGUAGCUCUGAAAGUAUUAUUAUCUGUAACUAUCACAAAUUUACUCUUGGCAUAUACACCUGAUAUAUCAAUAAAUUAGUUUGGAUGAUAAAGUAGAUAGAUGGACUAAUUAAACACCAAUAUUGAUGUAGUCAGUGCAAAAAUAAACUUGUCAAUGCUAUCCAUCUUAUGAUUUCUCUUGA